UUAAGCGACUAAGCGUACACGGUGGAUGCCCUGGCAGUCAGAGGCGAUGAAGGACGUGCUAAUCUGCGAUAAGCGUCGGUAAGGUGAUAUGAACCGUUAUAACCGGCGAUUUCCGAAUGGGGAAACCCAGUGUGUUUCGACACACUAUCAUUAACUGAAUCCAUAGGUUAAUGAGGCGAACCGGGGGAACUGAAACAUCUAAGUACCCCGAGGAAAAGAAAUCAACCGAGAUUCCCCCAGUAGCGGCGAGCGAACGGGGAGCAGCCCAGAGCCUGAAUCAGUGUGUGUGUUAGUGGAAGCGUCUGGAAAGGCGCGCGAUACAGGGUGACAGCCCCGUACACAAAAAUGCACAUGCUGUGAGCUCGAUGAGUAGGGCGGGACACGUGGUAUCCUGUCUGAAUAUGGGGGGACCAUCCUCCAAGGCUAAAUACUCCUGACUGACCGAUAGUGAACCAGUACCGUGAGGGAAAGGCGAAAAGAACCCCGGCGAGGGGAGUGAAAAAGAACCUGAAACCGUGUACGUACAAGCAGUGGGAGCACGCUUCGGCGUGUGACUGCGUACCUUUUGUAUAAUGGGUCAGCGACUUAUAUUCUGUAGCAAGGUUAACCGAAUAGGGGAGCCGAAGGGAAACCGAGUCUUAACUGGGCGUUAAGUUGCAGGGUAUAGACCCGAAACCCGGUGAUCUAGCCAUGGGCAGGUUGAAGGUUGGGUAACACUAACUGGAGGACCGAACCGACUAAUGUUGAAAAAUUAGCGGAUGACUUGUGGCUGGGGGUGAAAGGCCAAUCAAACCGGGAGAUAGCUGGUUCUCCCCGAAAGCUAUUUAGGUAGCGCCUCGUGAAUUCAUCUCCGGGGGUAGAGCACUGUUUCGGCAAGGGGGUCAUCCCGACUUACCAACCCGAUGCAAACUGCGAAUACCGGAGAAUGUUAUCACGGGAGACACACGGCGGGUGCUAACGUCCGUCGUGAAGAGGGAAACAACCCAGACCGCCAGCUAAGGUCCCAAAGUCAUGGUUAAGUGGGAAACGAUGUGGGAAGGCCCAGACAGCCAGGAUGUUGGCUUAGAAGCAGCCAUCAUUUAAAGAAAGCGUAAUAGCUCACUGGUCGAGUCGGCCUGCGCGGAAGAUGUAACGGGGCUAAACCAUGCACCGAAGCUGCGGCAGCGACACUAUGUGUUGUUGGGUAGGGGAGCGUUCUGUAAGCCUGUGAAGGUGUGCUGUGAGGCAUGCUGGAGGUAUCAGAAGUGCGAAUGCUGACAUAAGUAACGAUAAAGCGGGUGAAAAGCCCGCUCGCCGGAAGACCAAGGGUUCCUGUCCAACGUUAAUCGGGGCAGGGUGAGUCGACCCCUAAGGCGAGGCCGAAAGGCGUAGUCGAUGGGAAACAGGUUAAUAUUCCUGUACUUGGUGUUACUGCGAAGGGGGGACGGAGAAGGCUAUGUUGGCCGGGCGACGGUUGUCCCGGUUUAAGCGUGUAGGCUGGUUUUCCAGGCAAAUCCGGAAAAUCAAGGCUGAGGCGUGAUGACGAGGCACUACGGUGCUGAAGCAACAAAUGCCCUGCUUCCAGGAAAAGCCUCUAAGCAUCAGGUAACAUCAAAUCGUACCCCAAACCGACACAGGUGGUCAGGUAGAGAAUACCAAGGCGCUUGAGAGAACUCGGGUGAAGGAACUAGGCAAAAUGGUGCCGUAACUUCGGGAGAAGGCACGCUGAUAUGUAGGUGAAGUCCCUCGCGGAUGGAGCUGAAAUCAGUCGAAGAUACCAGCUGGCUGCAACUGUUUAUUAAAAACACAGCACUGUGCAAACACGAAAGUGGACGUAUACGGUGUGACGCCUGCCCGGUGCCGGAAGGUUAAUUGAUGGGGUUAGCGCAAGCGAAGCUCUUGAUCGAAGCCCCGGUAAACGGCGGCCGUAACUAUAACGGUCCUAAGGUAGCGAAAUUCCUUGUCGGGUAAGUUCCGACCUGCACGAAUGGCGUAAUGAUGGCCAGGCUGUCUCCACCCGAGACUCAGUGAAAUUGAACUCGCUGUGAAGAUGCAGUGUACCCGCGGCAAGACGGAAAGACCCCGUGAACCUUUACUAUAGCUUGACACUGAACAUUGAGCCUUGAUGUGUAGGAUAGGUGGGAGGCUUGGAAGUGUGGACGCCAGUCUGCAUGGAGCCGACCUUGAAAUACCACCCUUUAAUGUUUGAUGUUCUAACGUUGACCCGUAAUCCGGGUUGCGGACAGUGUCUGGUGGGUAGUUUGACUGGGGCGGUCUCCUCCUAAAGAGUAACGGAGGAGCACGAAGGUUGGCUAAUCCUGGUCGGACAUCAGGAGGUUAGUGCAAUGGCAUAAGCCAGCUUGACUGCGAGCGUGACGGCGCGAGCAGGUGCGAAAGCAGGUCAUAGUGAUCCGGUGGUUCUGAAUGGAAGGGCCAUCGCUCAACGGAUAAAAGGUACUCCGGGGAUAACAGGCUGAUACCGCCCAAGAGUUCAUAUCGACGGCGGUGUUUGGCACCUCGAUGUCGGCUCAUCACAUCCUGGGGCUGAAGUAGGUCCCAAGGGUAUGGCUGUUCGCCAUUUAAAGUGGUACGCGAGCUGGGUUUAGAACGUCGUGAGACAGUUCGGUCCCUAUCUGCCGUGGGCGCUGGAGAACUGAGGGGGGCUGCUCCUAGUACGAGAGGACCGGAGUGGACGCAUCACUGGUGUUCGGGUUGUCAUGCCAAUGGCACUGCCCGGUAGCUAAAUGCGGAAGAGAUAAGUGCUGAAAGCAUCUAAGCACGAAACUUGCCCCGAGAUGAGUUCUCCCUGACUCCUUGAGAGUCCUGAAGGAACGUUGAAGACGACGACGUUGAUAGGCCGGGUGUGUAAGCGCAGCGAUGCGUUGAGCUAACCGGUACUAAUGAACCGUGAGGCUUAACCUU
rnacentral:rRNA from 1 species